ensembl:lncRNA
UACAUUUUCAGCUGAUGAGAAGAAGAGAGAAGCUGAAAGAAAACUCAUCUGAACCAGGGAGUCGGGAGAGCCACGCUGACGUUCCUUCCUGUGCCUAUCAGUGUUGAUGAGUUCAGGACUGAAUCAAAAGGCAUCCCUGAGCUACCUGCUGGCCACAGUAGUGCCCUACAGCAGAAAAGGUUUAUGCCUUGACACCAGAUGCAAACAGGAGCUGCUAUUCUGUAAAAGGAGGAAUCUAUCAGUUUGACCAUGAGUAGCAGCCAGCACGGAUUUGUCAAGAAUAAACCACUUCCUUGCUGUCAGAUUUAGCAAAGAGAUCGGAUGCGUUGGUGUGGCACUGAGUGGGUGGGUGACAGCACGAACAGUCAGCGCCGUCCUGCUCGCUGCUCGGCCUGGUCCCCAGGUUGGUGCUGGGGACUGGCCUGGGGAACAACUGCCUUUAAGCCAAUCGUGUGCUUCUAACACUGUGUUUUUGUUGGUUUGUUUUUUAGUGCCUUCUAGAAAUAAGCUUUCUCAUAACCCCACCACUGGUCCAGUGCUGUCUGUGCUGUGCUGUGGUAAUACCACAAGCUCCUGAAGGAGGUCAGCAGCCAUUAUAGACACCGGACAACUAGCACAUGUCAUGAAAGGUUCUUCCCCCAAUGGCUUCUCACCCAUAAAUGUUAAAAGAGGAGGUAAAAGUGUGUGUAAGAAUGAGAAAAGGAGAGACCACACUGAAUGGCAGCAGGAGCAGAGGUACACCAGUGUGCACAGAGCCAUUUUGAACAUCGGUGCCUUCAACAUCCACCGGAGGAGCAGCCUCAGAAGCUCUUCUGACCUUCCUGGAGCUCUGACGCCCCAGGCAGUGUGUGCUUAGAAAGCUGCAGUGAGUGAGCUCGGCUGGUACUGCCCUUAGCCGGGGAUGUGAGGUGCAAGGUGAGAAGUCAGAGCACACAGCAGCAGUGAGAGCUGCUUAACCG